UACGUAGGGGGCAAGCGUUGUCCGGAAUCAUUGGGCGUAAAGCGCGUGUAGGCGGCCCGGUAAGUCCGCUGUGAAAGUCGGGGGCUCAACCCUCGAAUGCCGGUGGAUACUGUCGGGCUAGAGUGCGGAAGAGGCGAGUGGAAUUCCUGGUGUAGCGGUGAAAUGCGCAGAUAUCAGGAGGAACACCAAUGGCGAAGGCAGCACUCUGGGACGUGACUGACGCUGAGACGCGAAAGCGUGGGGAGCAAACAGG
rnacentral:rRNA from 1 species